rnacentral:rRNA from 1 species
GCCAGACUCCUACGGGAGGCAGCAGUGAGGAAUAUUGGUCAAUGGUCGGGAGACUGAACCAGCCAAGCCGCGUGAGGGAUGAAGGUACAGAGUAUCGUAAACCUCUUUUGUCAGGGAACAAAGGCGGGGACGUGUCCCCGGAUGAGUGUACCUGAAGAAAAAGCAUCGGCUAACUCCGUGCCAGCAGCCGCGGUAAUACGGAGGAUGCGAGCGUUAUCCGGAUUUAUUGGGUUUAAAGGGUGCGCAGGCGGCACGGCAAGCCGGCGGUCAAAUCGCGGGGCUCAACCCCGCCCAGCCGUCGGAACUGCCGGGCUAGAGUGGGCGAGAAGUGCGCGGAAUGCGUGGUGUAGCGGUGAAAUGCAUAGAUAUCACGCAGAACUCCGAUUGCGAAGGCAGCAUACCGGCGCCCAACUGACGCUGAAGCACGAAAGCGUGGGUAUCGAACAGGAUUAGAUACCCUAGUA